GCCAGUGUAGCUCAGGGGUAGAGCAACUGAUUCGUAAUCAGUAGGUCGUCAGUUCGAAUCUGACCUCUGGCUCCA
rnacentral:tRNA from 2 species